AGUGAACGCUGGCGGUAGGCCUAACACAUGCAAGUCGAACGGCAGCACAGUAAGAGCUUGCUCUUACGGGUGGCGAGUGGCGGACGGGUGAGGAAUACAUCGGAAUCUACUUUUUCGUGGGGGAUAACGUAGGGAAACUUACGCUAAUACCGCAUACGACCUACGGGUGAAAGCAGGGGAUCUUCGGACCUUGCGCGAUUGAAUGAGCCGAUGUCGGAUUAGCUAGUUGGCGGGGUAGAGGCCCACCAAGGCGACGAUCCGUAGCUGGUCUGAGAGGAUGAUCAGCCACACUGGAACUGAGACACGGUCCAGACUCCUACGGGAGGCAGCAGUGGGGAAUAUUGGACAAUGGGCGCAAGCGUGAUCCAGCCAUACCGCGUGGGUGAAGAAGGCCUUCGGGUUGUAAAGCCCUUUUGUUGGGAAAGAAAAGCAGCAGGUUAAUACCCCGCUGUUCUGACGGUACCCAAAGAAUAAGCACCGGCUAACUUCGUG
rnacentral:rRNA from 1 species